rnacentral:lncRNA from 1 species
CUGAAUUUACUGUAAUUGAAUUCAUCACUUUGUUAGCUUAUAUUUUCAAUUUGAAAUGAUUGCAGAAAAUGAUCAAAUUCUCUUGUUUUUUUUUCCUUUCUUAACAAGAACAAGCCAAAUUUAUUUUCUUAUCAGAUAAUAAUUGUUUUUUUCUCUAAGUUAAUUUUUUUAAAAUUGUUUAAUAACACUGUAGUGGCCCAAUUUCGCCCAGGCCCAUACCAAAAUAAAAAGUAAACAAACAAAUUAAAUACAAGUCCAUCCUACAGCAGCCCAAUACAAGCCCAAAUAUUUUUUUUUCAGAAACAACAAACCCUAGGGUACCCCUUGCACUGCAGCCCCACGUUCAGCAUCCCUCCACCAUGCACGUAGGCACAUCAGGCAUGACCCCCAGCCCGCGUUGCACGCCCCACGUUGUGCACUCCUCCUUCACGUCCUCACAGCACCUGCGAUUUGAGCAAAGAAAUAGGCAGAAACUGCUUGUAUUUUGGCUAUAAAUCCUUCGAAUUUUUUCAUUGUAAAGGGGGGAUUUUUGACCCUUUUUUUUUCAGAGAAAUAGAAUAUGGAUACAAUAGCAAUAUACAAGGAAAACAUUAAAAUACAGAGAAAUCAAAUCAAUUGAAAAAGGUUGCGGUUAUUCCUUUUCUAAUUUAUCUUGUUUUUUUCUCUUCUUUUUUUAGUGUGUUCUUACUUUGUGAUUGCAAAAAAAUAACAGAAUAAGGAAGGAAGAGGGCUUACCAGAACACGGCCUUGAAUCAAGGUUGAAAACCCAUUUUUUAAGUGCUGCUAGCCACCGAGUGUGGUGGUGUUUCAGUUUUGCGGUGGGGGGAAAGAACCAAUCGGCGCAUGGAGAUUGGGAUGUAGCCUUAGCAGAGCAAGAAUGGGAACGCUUUUUUUUAAUUUGAUGCAAAUGGUUUUGGGCAAACAAAAUGGUUUAAUAUUUUAUGUAUAAUAAAAUGGUGUUGUUUGGGUUAAAUGGGUAGGAUCUGCACAUUCUAGCCUAAAAUGGGAAAUUUCAUGAUCAAUCCCCAUCUUUUGCACCGCUAUUUAAUUAGGCUCUAUUCAUUUUUCUUAUUUGUUUUUAAAUUUUUGCCCGGGAAUUUGGUGUCAAUUACAUUUUAGUCCGCAUUGAAGCACCGUGUUUUGGAGAUUUGGGUUAUUUUCAUUUUUAAUCCUCGCUCGUUUGUGCAC